rnacentral:rRNA from 1 species
UACGUAGGGUCCGAGCGUUGUCCGGAAUUACUGGGCGUAAAGAGCUCGUAGGUGGUUUGUCGCGUUGUUCGUGAAAACUCACAGCUCAACUGUGGGCGUGCGGGCGAUACGGGCAGACUAGAGUACUGCAGGGGAGACUGGAAUUCCUGGUGUAGCGGUGAAAUGCGCAGAUAUCAGGAGGAACACCGGUGGCGAAGGCGGGGUCUCUGGGCCGAUACUGACGCUGAGGAGCGAAAGCAUGGGUAGCGAACAGG